UUGACUGCCUCUUUUUAUUUUCUAUGUAGUUAUUUUACUGUCACGGAACCACAAGGCCUGCUGGCUUCCAUUGUUUUUGUCUAGUCAAGAGCAAACUUCUGUGGGCAGCCAGUGGUAUCCAAGAGGGAAGGGACCUGGAUUGCUGUGGUUACUGUAGCUGCGUCUUAUUUUAUGUGGUCACCUUUUCUACUGUAUUUAAAAAUUUUGUAAAAUCAUUCUGCAUGUCCUUUAAUUUAUUAGUCAAUAAAGCCGCUUUCUCACAA